CAGUCGACGGCAGCAUAGGAGCUUGCUCCUGAUGGCGAGUGGCGAACGGGUGAGUAAUAUAUCGGAACGUGCCCUAGAGUGGGGGAUAACUAGUCGAAAGACUAGCUAAUACCGCAUACGAUCUACGGAUGAAAGUGGGGGAUCGCAAGACCUCAUGCUCCUGGAGCGGCCGAUAUCUGAUUAGCUAGUUGGUGGGGUAAAAGCCUACCAAGGCAACGAUCAGUAGCUGGUCUGAGAGGACGACCAGCCACACUGGGACUGAGACACGGCCCAGACUCCUACGGGAGGCAGCAGUGGGGAAUUUUGGACAAUGGGGGCAACCCUGAUCCAGCAAUGCCGCGUGAGUGAAGAAGGCCUUCGGGUUGUAAAGCUCUUUUGUCAGGGAAGAAACGGUAGUAGCGAAUAACUAUUACUAAUGACGGUACCUGAAGAAUAAGCACCGGCUAACUACGUGCCAGCAGCCGCGGUAAUACGUAGGGUGCAAGCGUUAAUCGGAAUUACUGGGCGUAAAGCGUGCGCAGGCGGUUGUGUAAGUCAGAUGUGAAAUCCCCGGGCUCAACCUGGGAAUUGCAUUUGAGACUGCACGGCUAGAGUGUGUCAGA
rnacentral:rRNA from 1 species